GACGAACGCUGGCGGCGUGCCUAAUACAUGCAAGUCGAACGCAGUUGGGACGGGUGAGUAACCCGUGGGUAACCUCCCAUCAGAGGGGAUAACACUUGGAAACAGGUGCUCAACCGAUACUGCUGGCUCGUCCCGCGUUGCUUUAGCUAGUUGGUGGGGUAACGGCUCACCAAGGCCACGAUGCAUAGCCUAGCUGAGAGGUUGAUGGGCCACACUGGGACUGAGACCCGGCCCAGACUCCUACGGGAGGCAGAAGUAGGGAAUCUUCGGCAAUGGACGAAAGUCUGACCGAGCAACGCCGCGUGAGUGAAGAAGGUUUUCGGAUCGUAAAACUCUGUUGUUAGAGAAGCGGGAGGGAAACAGAAAGCAACGGCUAACUACGUGCCAGCAGCCGCGGUAAUAG
rnacentral:rRNA from 1 species